UCAUCAAGUAGCAUGCCAUCUGGUGCACUUGUCUUAAUGCUGGGUACUAUUAGCGAUCUCAGCUCCAAAUGAACCUUUUUAUAAUUCAAGUCAAUCAGGGUGAUCGAAUUCACGGGAUUAGUACUUUAGUCUAAAGCCAGCAUGAGCUUCGGCCGUGCGCAGAUGCUAGAUGCACAACUCAGCGUAUUGCCCCGCGUUCAUUCAGGCUGUCCCGCAUCUAUAGAUCUCCAGACAGAAUCAGUGCAGUUUCG
rnacentral:lncRNA from 1 species